UGCAGUCUUAGCCAAUAUCUUGGAAUAAACGAAGCAUCAAGCAACGACAAACAUGAGUGCUGGGAGGAUGACGGGUCACGUGAGAGCCGUGGGACCUCCGAAUUUCCCCCCGGCAGGUUGGUUGGGGCACUGGGGGUUGCCAUCGGAGCUGCUGCGGUGGCCGGGGCUGCAGGAAGGAGGCAGGAAGCGAGCAGCAGGCAAAUAUCUCGCCUUUCGUUCCUCUGCCUUCCCUCCGUGACAGGCCACAAAAGUCACGAGGCAAGGAGGAAAACAAGGAGGUGUCCAGAGUUCAAGCACAGCACCCCCGCGACUCCCGGGCCGCAGGUCCCGGCGGGAGCUGAAAACCCGGCGAACACCGUGGUAUCUCGCUCCUGCGUGGGAGGCACCAUUUCUGCGAGAAGAGACUCCUGCUGCUGCUUGGCAGCCGAGCCUGGGAUCGGGCCUGCGCUCCGGGCCCUCCCUGCUGCCGGCAGCAGGCGGGGGAACGGGGGGCGGCGGGCGGGACGGGCGUUGCCGUCGGGGCGCAGAGCCCCCGCCAAGGAUGCGGCCCCGGGCUGGGCGGAUCGGAGCCUCCUUCGCCGUCCCCUCGGGGAGCUCCCGCGGCGCCCGGGACGCCAAGGGGCUCCACGCCCCGAUGGCGCCCGCACCGCGCACCCGCACCGGGCCCACCGCGGGAGGAGCGACGCUCGCCUUCCCCGGAGAUCCCUCCUCCCGUCUCCAUCAGGUCCUAAAAUGGUACUCAUGACAAAUUCCCCUGCAAGCUCAGACAAUAAUCCUUGGGAAAAGUGAGUGUCAGGAGCCUGGUUAUGGAGCCAUUGGGCCAUUUAUGGACAACCUUUGCUGGAGGUGGGUGUGGGCUGCUGCAAACUUCAGCCAGGAGGAGCAGGAGAUACUUUUCCUACUGAGUCAUGACACUAAGUGUGCUUUUUACAAUUAUUAAUAGUGAAAUUCAGUGGAAGAAUGAAUCAGAUCAUUGGUAUUUAGUCUGAACCAGAGUUGUGAAACUUCAGGUGACUGUGCAGGAGGGAGGUUGCCAUGAUGGAUGUCCAUCAUCCAUGGAAAACACGUCCUUGUGCUUACACCUUUCCUUGUAUUUCUUUUUGCUUAUGUAAAAAACCUGUAGGUAUAAUCACCUGAAAGAUUAAAAGGCUUUUAAAAAUUUCCUAAAUUAAAUUGCUGCUUGUCAUCCCUGGAUGCAAUUCUGAGAUAAAAAAGGUGCCAGUAUUUGCACAGCUUUGUAGAAAUUCCUAGGAUAACCCCAAAAUAAGCGGUGGUUUUGUCCACAUUUUCAGAGUGCUGCUGCAGUCAUGAUCAUCAUCAAGAAAGGAAAACACACAAAUGGACCAUGCAAACUAAGAUGGUUUUUGGUUGGACUUUAUGACCUUAAAGGUACUUUAGUAGUUUUGUUCUGAGUAGUUUUGUUUGACCUCAUUGCAGCCUUCCAGCACCUGAAGGGAGCCUAUGGAAAACAUGGAGGGAGACUAUUCAAAAGGGUCUGGAGUGACAGGACAAGGGGAAAUGGCUUCACACUGACAGAGAGGAGUUUAGGUUGGAUAUUGGGAAGAAAUUCUUCCCUGUGAGGGUUGUGAGGCCCUGCACAGGUUGCCCAGAGAAGCUGUGGCUGCCCCAUCCCUGGAACUGUUCAAGGCCAGGCUGGAUGGGGCUCUGAGCAACCUGGGCUAGUGGAAGGUGUCCCUGUCCAUGGCAGGGAGGUUGGAACCAGAUGACCUUUAAAGGUUCCUUCCAACCUAAACCAUUCUAUUCUGUGAAUCCUUUCUACACUUCUGCCUUUGGAUGGAAGAAUGUCUUCAUGGAACAACAUCCCCACCACUCCCUGCCCACAGCAGCAGUUGGUCAGGCACCAAGGAGCAUGUAAUAUGCCUCAGUAAAUGAUUUUAAUUGACUAAAUAAAUUUUUUUUGCUUCUGAAUAAAUGGCUAAAU
rnacentral:lncRNA from 1 species